ensembl:lncRNA UAP56-interacting factor-like
AUGCGACCUACGGCUGAAAUGAGUGUGAUCCAUUUAGAUGACAUCAUAAGGAAUAACAAGAAGGGGCAAACCAACCCGAAGGCGAGGAGAUGGAGGCAGCCUUUCCAGAACAGGAUCCCGGCAUUCGGCAACGGAAGACCUGGAUUCCGGAGCUGGGGGCCACGGAACCUGUCAGGACCCAACCGGUUUCGAGGGGGCUUCGGGAAGCAGCCGUUUUACAAGAAGCGGUUUUGGAACGGGGGCACCAGACCGGGCCAGAGCGCGCCCCUCGGGCCAAGCGGCAGGAGUCCGCUCAACCGGCCUGCAUCGGCACAGCAGCAACAGGCCUUUCCGAAACAAUCAAAGGCAGUCCAGAUUCAACUUCAGCCGGCGACAACAAGCAAUGUUCCGCGUAGAGAGGAGACCAUCAGGGAGGUACAGGUGGCAGCCGCAACCCAAUUUGGGGGCAGUCUUGACUGUUUCGGUGUCCAACCUCCAAGCAGGUCAAGCAAAUAUCCCCAGAGGAGCCCAGCGCCCCUUCCUGAGAGGGAGAGGCACCUCGACCAAGACAACCGGACGCCAGCCGAAAGGGGUGCCCCUGAGAUUUAACUUCCGCGCCAUGGCUAACCAGACUAGCCUGACCUUGAAUGAAAGGUUCUCCGGGCUGAGGAACAAAGGCCGUUUCACAUCAUUGCAAAACACAGGCCGGAUGGUCACUCUGCCCUGACGCUACCCUUGGAGGGAGCUGGACCCCUCUGGAACGGAGCCGGCGUUUGAAGCCAUGUGUUGUUUUUUAGCUACUACCUGGGAGGUGGCUGUGGGAACACCUAGACGCCAAGUGACCGACUAACACCAAAGGGACAACUUCUGUCCACACCCUCGGGUAUUCCUCCCCACUGUGGAUGUCUUGCUCACCCAGUUUGCAGGAGGGCUCCCUGUUUCGAUCUAUGGCGUUUGCUCUACGAUGCAUUGAGGUUUGACUUAGUUUUGCCCCCAAGCUUGUUAGGAUGUUGUUGGGAAGCCGUAAGGUAUAAAAGAUCUCCCAGACUCCAUCAAAGGAGAAGCCUUUGUCUUCAAGCACAAGUAGAGGUGUGAACAAGCAAAAAAAAAUUAUAGGAUUGUAGAUUUGCAAGGUGAUCCUAGUGGUCAUCUAGACUGACUGCCUGAGGUGCCAAGAAACACACAGCAGAAUCCUGCCUAGUAAACGACCAUCAAGCUCUGUUUAAACACGGCCAACAGGGAAGAGCCCACCACUUUUCCACCAGAACCAUCAGGACAGUCUUCCUACUGCUGAAUGGGCGUCUCUUCUUUUGUGACAUGAAGACAUGAAUUUGGGGCCCUAUCCUCGGAAGCAGCGGAAAAGACACCUGCUCCUGUUCCAUCUUCCAGAAGGCAGUCUUUCAGAUAUCGGGGGGGGGGGGAGGUCUCCUCCAGGCGAAACGUGUUGAUGCACUGGCUGGUGGGAGGCCCACCCGUGAGAAAGCAGCAGAGUGUUGACUGGAAGGGGGGAGCGGAGCGUGGCUUUCCUAGUGCCUUAUUGCUGAUGAUGUGAAAUCUGGAUCCCUCUCCUGCCCUGCUCCUCCUGGGGAGAAAGCCCCUCUACAGAUUUGUGUUGAAGAUUUUAUUUUGAAUGAGUUAUAGCCGACUGAAUAAAACCUUUUAGAAGCUGAGAUACUGACUUGAU